GCAGCAAUUGAAAGGGAACUGUCAGCUGAAAGUGCCAACUAGCUUCAAGGUUAACUUCUGAACUUCUUGAAGCAUCAGCUGAUUGUGCUGAAGCACCUGCAGCCGAGGAGAAGGAAGAUAUAAGAGGAGAGCGAUGAUGACAUGGGAUUCUCUCCCUUUGAUUAAUAAAUUUGUCCUUAGUUGUUUGAUAGGAUUUCGUGUUAAUUGUUGACAAAUUAUGAUUUGUGCCGUACUGUUUCACCGCAAUGAUAUUUAUCUCGCAAUUAGAACAACUACUAGUCUACGAAACCGUAUUUAGCUCUUUA